AAUUACAGAUUUUUAAAGCCUAUUUUUUCUGCUGCACUCUCUUCAGUCCAGUUUCCUUUCCUCUGUGUGCUUCAGUCUCUCCACUCCAUGUUGAAAACUUCCCUCAAAUGUCUGAUGAGCCUUCUUUCCCUGCUUGAAUGUGGGAGACACCGCAGUGGGUAGGCUCGGGCUCAAACAAGCGUGUCCCCAGCCUCCAAGCAAAAGUGGUUAAAACAAGACAGAGGGUGGUUGCUCCCGUCAGUGGGGGGCCGAGGGCUGGGGUCAGGGUUCCCCAAUCUUCAGGGACCCCAUCUUUUCCCCUUUGCUGUUCCACCGCCCUCACGGGCCACGACGGCCUCCCAGGCUGCGGCUCUCGUGCCUGCGAGCCCGCCGGAAAGGAAGAAGGGUCAGGAAGGUGAGACCCUGGAGCCGGUAUCCAUGUGCCAAGUCCAUGGACCAGAACUUGGCACACGCAGCUGCAAGGAAGGCUGGAAGGCAGAGUUUUUGUGGGAGACACGUUUCCAGGGCAUCUUGGCACAGGUGCACAUGGCGUCCGUUCUAGGGCUGCGUGUGCGGCAGUGUGGACGGUAUCAAACCACGGAAGCAGCUUGCCAUCAACAGGGCGCUGCCACGUAGCUCCCGCGUGCAUCUCAAAGGCAUAUCAUCAAGGAGAGAAGGCAAGAGGAGAGAGCAUUUAGUAUGCUACGACUGUAAACGGGCCUGCACACCCUUAUCUGCUGACACGCUAACCGCCUGUGGAGGGAAACACGCAUUGCUGACCACGGUGGCUGGCUGGGCCGUAGGACAAGGUUCACCAUACUCAUGUUGUAUAUGUGAGUCAGGUUUUGCCUCUGCGAGCAAAAAAAAAAAAAAAAAAAAAAAAAAAAAAAAAAAAUCAAAUAAUGAAAUAAACCAACAAUUAGGAAAG